CGUACACUCCUACGGGAGGCAGCAGUGGGGAAUAUUGGACAAUGGGCGCAAGCCUGAUCCAGCCAUGCCGCGUGAGUGAUGAAGGCCCUAGGGUUGUAAAGCUCUUUCACCGGAGAAGAUAAUGACGGUAUCCGGAGAAGAAGCCCCGGCUAACUUCGUGCCAGCAGCCGCGGUAAUACGAAGGGGGCUAGCGUUGUUCGGAAUUACUGGGCGUAAAGCGCACGUAGGCGGAUCGAUCAGUCAGGGGUGAAAUCCCAGGGCUCAACCCUGGAACUGCCUUUGAUACUGUCGAUCUGGAGUAUGGAAGAGGUGAGUGGAAUUCCGAGUGUAGAGGUGAAAUUCGUAGAUAUUCGGAGGAACACCAGUGGCGAAGGCGGCUCACUGGUCCAUUACUGACGCUGAGGUGCGAAAGCGUGGGGAGCAAACAGGAUUAGAUACCCCUGUAGUCCCAUG
rnacentral:rRNA from 1 species